GACGAACGCUGGCGGCGUGCCUAAUACAUGCAAGUCGAACGCUUCUUUCCUCCCGAGUGCUUGCACUCAAUUGGAAAGAGGAGUGGCGGACGGGUGAGUAACACGUGGGUAACCUACCCAUCAGAGGGGGAUAACACUUGGAAACAGGUGCUAAUACCGCAUAACAGUUUAUGCCGCAUGGCAUAAGAGUGAAAGGCGCUUUCGGGUGUCGCGUAGGGAUGGACCCGCGGUGCAUUAGCUAGUUGGGGAGGUAACGGCUCACCAAGGCCACGAUGCAUAGCCGACCUGAGAGGGUGAUCGGCCACACUGGGACUGAGACACGGCCCAGACUCCUACGGGAGGCAGCAGUAGGGAAUCUUCGGCAAUGGACGAAAGUCUGACCGAGCAACGCCGCGUGAGUGAAGAAGGUUUUCGGAUCGUAAAACUCUGUUGUUAGAGAAGAACAAGGACGUUAGUAACUGAACGUCCCCUGACGGUAUCUAACCAGAAAGCCACGGCUAACUACGUG
rnacentral:rRNA from 1 species